UACGUAGGUGGCAAGCGUUGUCCGGAAUUAUUGGGCGUAAAGAGCUCGUAGGUGGUUUGUCGCGUUGUUCGUGAAAACCGGGGGCUUAACCCUCGGCGUGCGGGCGAUACGGGCAGACUGGAGUACUGCAGGGGAGACUGGAAUUCCUGGUGUAGCGGUGGAAUGCGCAGAUAUCAGGAGGAACACCGGUGGCGAAGGCGGGUCUCUGGGCAGUAACUGACGCUGAGGAGCGAAAGCGUGGGGAGCGAACAGG
rnacentral:rRNA from 1 species